rnacentral:rRNA from 1 species
GACAUGAAAGACUAGUGUUAUUCAUCUUUAAUAGGUUUAAAGGGUACCUAGACGGUAUAAUUAGUCUUAAACAGGAUACGAUUAUACUAGAGUUAUAUAUGAGGAGGUGAGUAUUUAUGCAGUAGAGUUGAAAUUCGUUGAUAGCAUAACGACUGGUAACGGCGAAAGCAACCUUUUAUCUAAUAACUGACGUUGAGGGACGAAGGCUCGGGUAACGAACAGG